ACUCGCAGUACCAUCAGCG
rnacentral:rRNA from 1 species